rnacentral:lncRNA from 1 species
UUUAUCUCCAAAUACAGUUAUAUUCUGAGGUAUUGGAUUGGGGUUAGGACUUCAAUUUAUGAAUUCUGGGGGGACACAAUUCAGCCCAUAAUACUUGUACAGACACUUCAGGAAAGAGUUAUAAAUAGUUAAUAAGAGCAGGAAAAACAAAAUACGGCAGAGUGAAACUCAUUAGAGAGUCAUGGGGCCAUGAGCUGAGUGCGUCAUGUCACUCCAGCCCCAUGUCCCUUGGGAAGAUCAGAGACUAGGGUCAGAAGCAACCUUAACAAGGCUCUCUUUGAGUUGCAAGGAGGUGAAUUCCCAGAAAACAGAGCUGCUUGAGGUCAGACGGGGCAGGGGAUGCUGCAGACCCCACCCCUGGGGAGGAGUUCAGGGGAAGUCUCCUAAGUGAGAGCUUGGAACGGAUUCAGUGAAAUGAGCUCAACAGCUAAGGUUAGGUACCCCACAUGGGGUCCUCAUAACUGCUGUCCUCCAUCCUCUUUAGAAAGAGACAAGAACAAAGAAAAAUGAAAAGAUGAUCAACACCAUCAGGCACUAAAGAGAUGCAGAUUAAAACCACAAUAAAACAUCACUACACAUUCGUAUGAAUGACUAAAAUUAAAAAUAUUGAGAAUACCAAUUGUAGAGCAAAUAUAGUUCUCAUAUACUGCUGAUAUAAUUAUAAAAUGGUAAAUCACUUUGAAAAACUGGCAAUUUCUUAAAGUUAAAUAUACAUCUACCAAUGAACCUACUAAUUCCAUUCAAAGCUGUUUACCCAUUGGAAAUGAACAUAUAUGUCCUUAUGAAGAUUUUUACAUAGCAACUUUAU